rnacentral:tRNA from 1 species
UGAAGUAUAGCUCUGUUGGUAAAGUGCUUGCCUGGCAUGCAUGAAGCCCUGGACUCAGUCUCUAGUACCUCAU